rnacentral:rRNA from 1 species
AUUGAACGCUGGCGGCAGGCCUAACACAUGCAAGUCGAACGAGUGGCGGACGGGUGAGUAAUGUCUGGGAAACUGCCUGAUGGAGGGGGAUAACUACUGGAAAUGGCAGCUAAUACCGCAUACUAUCAGCUGUGCCCAGAUGGGAUUAGCUAGUUGGUGGGGUAACGGCUCACCAAGGCGACGAUCCCUAGCUGGUCUGAGAGGAUGACCGGCCAGACGGGAACUGAGACAGAAUGCAGACUCCUGCGCGAGGCAACAGUGGGGAAUAUUGCGCAAUGGGCGCGAGCCUGAUACAGCCAUGCCGCGUGUAUGAAGAAGGCCUGCGGGUUGUAAAGUACUUUCAGCGGGGAGGCGUUACCCGCAGAAGAAGCACCGGCUAACUCCGUGCCAGCAGCCGCGGUAAUUC